rnacentral:tRNA from 1 species
CACUAAGAAGCUAACCUGGGACAAAGCAUUAGCCUUUUAAGCUAAAGAUUGGUGAUUACCGACCACCCUUAGUGA